ensembl:misc_RNA
GACCAAAGCUGUCUGCAGUGCAGGAAGCCAACUAUUAAGGGGAAACAAAAGUGUUCUUAGGAGUCCUGCUGUCAUUGUGAAUUGAGCCGGUAAAGCCCCGAGGGGUUUCAUCGUGGAGGUGGAUGGAGAAGCAGCUGGGGGCCUUGACUUUAGUAAGGACCCCUAAGG